AGUGAACGCUGGCGGUAGGCCUAACACAUGCAAGUCGAACGGCAGCACAGUAAGAGCUUGCUCUUACGGGUGGCGAGUGGCGGACGGGUGAGGAAUACAUCGGAAUCUACUUUUUCGUGGGGGAUAAAGUAGGGAAACUUACGCUAAUACCGCCUACGACCUACGGGUGAAAGCAGGGGAUCUUCGGACCUUGCGCGAUUGAAUGAGCCGAUGUCGGAUUAGCUAGUUGGCGGGGUAAAGGCCCACCAAGGCGACGAUCCGUAGCUGGUCUGAGAGGAUGAUCAGCCACACUGGAACUGAGACACGGUCCAGACUCCUACGGGAGGCAGCAGUGGGGAAUAUUGGACAAUGGGCGCAAGCCUGAUCCAGCCAUACCGCGUGGGUGAAGAAGGCCUUCGGGUUGUAAAGCCCUUUUGUUGGGAAAGAAAAGCAGCAGGUUAAUACCCCGCUGUUCUGACGGUACCCAAAGAAUAAGCACCGGCUAACUUCGUG
rnacentral:rRNA from 1 species